UGUGCAAAGGUAGCAUAAUCAAUUGGCUUAUAAUUGAAGUCUGGAAUGAAUGGGAAAUUGGGGUUUUACUGUCUUACUUAGAUUGCUAGAAAUUACUUAAUAAGUGAAAAUUCUUAUAAAUAGAAAAUAGACGAGAAGACCCUAGAAAUUUUAAUAUAGAUUACAUUUUUGUUGGGGCGACAAGGUAACAUAUAACUUACCUAACUAUAUGGGCAAUUUUUAAAUGGGGUAAACAAAUUACUCUAGGGAUAACAGCAUAAUAUUAUAAAGAUUGUGACCUCGAUGUUGGACUAGGGAGUGUGUUACUUAAAAGGUAACAUAAUAGGCUCUGUUCGAGCUUACACCCUACAUGAUCUGAGUUCAAAUCGA
rnacentral:rRNA from 1 species